rnacentral:rRNA from 1 species
AGACCCGAAACCCGGUGAUCUAGCCAUGGGCAGGUUGAAGGUUGGGUAACACUAACUGGAGGACCGAACCGACUAAUGUUGAAAAAUUAGCGGAUGACUUGUGGCUGGGGGUGAAAGGCCAAUCAAACCGGGAGAUAGCUGGUUCUCCCCGAAAGCUAUUUAGGUAGCGCCUCGUGAAUUCAUCUCCGGGGGUAGAGCACUGUUUCGGCAAGGGGGUCAUCCCGACUUACCAACCCGAUGCAAACUGCGAAUACCGGAGAAUGUUAUCACGGGAGACACACGGCGGGUGCUAACGUCCGUCGUGAAGAGGGAAACAACCCAGACCGCCAGCUAAGGUCCCAAAGUCAUGGUUAAGUGGGAAACGAUGUGGGAAGGCCCAGACAGCCAGGAUGUUGGCUUAGAAGCAGCCAUCAUUUAAAGAAAGCGUAAUAGCUCACUGGUCGAGUCGGCCUGCGCGGAAGAUGUAACGGGGCUAAACCAUGCACCGAAGCUGCGGCAGCGACACUGUGUGUUGUUGGGUAGGGGAGCGUUCUGUAAGCCUGUGAAGGUGUGCUGUGAGGCAUGCUGGAGGUAUCAGA